rnacentral:rRNA from 1 species
UGCCAGCAGCCGCGGUAAUACGGAGGGUGCGAGCGUUAAUCGGAAUUACUGGGCGUAAAGCGUGCGUAGGCGGUUUGAUAAGCCAGAUGUGAAAUCCCGGGGCUUAACCUCGGAACUGCAUUUGGAACUGUUUAACUAGAGUACUGUAGAGGGUGGUGGAAUUUCCAGUGUAGCGGUGAAAUGCGUAGAGAUUGGAAGGAACAUCAGUGGCGAAGGCGGCCACCUGGACAGAUACUGACGCUGAGGCACGAAAGCGUGGGGAGCGAACAGGAUUAGAUA